AGAGUUUGAUCCUGGCUCAGAGCGAACGCUGGCGGCAGGCUUAACACAUGCAAGUCGAGCGGGCAUAGCAAUAUGUCAGCGGCAGACGGGUGAGUAACGCGUGGGAACAUACCUUUUGGUUCGGAACAACACAGGGAAACUUGUGCUAAUACCGGAUAAGCCCUUACGGGGAAAGAUUUAUCGCCGAAAGAUUGGCCCGCGUCUGAUUAGCUAGUUGGUGAGGUAACGGCUCACCAAGGCGACGAUCAGUAGCUGGUCUGAGAGGAUGAUCAGCCACAUUGGGACUGAGACACGGCCCAAACUCCUACGGGAGGCAGCAGUGGGGAAUAUUGGACAAUGGGCGCAAGCCUGAUCCAGCCAUGCCGCGUGAGUGAUGAAGGCCCUAGGGUUGUAAAGCUCUUUUGUGCGGGAAGAUAAUGACGGUACCGCAAGAAUAAGCCCCGGCUAACUUCGUGCCAGCAGCCGCGGUAAUACGAAGGGGGCUAGCGUUGCUCGGAAUCACUGGGCGUAAAGGGUGCGUAGGCGGGUCUUUAAGUCAGGGGUGAAAUCCUGGAGCUCAACUCCAGAACUGCCUUUGAUACUGAGGAUCUUGAGUUCGGGAGAGGUGAGUGGAACUGCGAGUGUAGAGGUGAAAUUCGUAGAUAUUCGCAAGAACACCAGUGGCGAAGGCGGCUCACUGGCCCGAUACUGACGCUGAGGCACGAAAGCGUGGGGAGCAAACAGGAUUAGAUACUCUGGUAGUCCACGCCGUAAACGAUGAAUGCCAGCCGUUAGUGGGUUUACUCACUAGUGGCGCAGCUAACGCUUUAAGCAUUCCGCCUGGGGAGUACGGUCGCAAGAUUAAAACUCAAAGGAAUUGACGGGGGCCCGCACAAGCGGUGGAGCAUGUGGUUUAAUUCGACGCAACGCGCAGAACCUUACCAGCCCUUGACAUCCCGGUCGCGGAUUCCAGAGACGGAGUCCUUCAGUUCGGCUGGACCGGAGACAGGUGCUGCAUGGCUGUCGUCAGCUCGUGUCGUGAGAUGUUGGGUUAAGUCCCGCAACGAGCGCAACCCCCGUCCUUAGUUGCUACCAUUUAGUUGAGCACUCUAAGGAGACUGCCGGUGAUAAGCCGCGAGGAAGGUGGGGAUGACGUCAAGUCCUCAUGGCCCUUACGGGCUGGGCUACACACGUGCUACAAUGGCGGUGACAAUGGGACGCUAAGGGGCAACCCUUCGCAAAUCUCAAAAAGCCGUCUCAGUUCGGAUUGGGCUCUGCAACUCGAGCCCAUGAAGUUGGAAUCGCUAGUAAUCGUGGAUCAGCAUGCCACGGUGAAUACGUUCCCGGGCCUUGUACACACCGCCCGUCACACCAUGGGAGUUGGUUUUACCUGAAGACGGUGCGCUAACCCGCAAGGGAGGCAGCCGGCCACGGUAGGGUCAGCGACUGGGGUGAAGUCGUAACAAGGUA
rnacentral:rRNA from 1 species